UUUAAAUCCAAGGGCGCUUUCCAUUAACACGGCCAGACCGGUCAGAAGGGUCAAAUUUUUUAAUGAAACACAAAACGUUUGGGCUUCGGACCUAUCUGACCGGAAAAUUUUGAUAAAAUUAGAAUGAAGUCCAUUUUCGCUAGAUAUUUGAGAAAUAUGGACCAGAUCUUUCUACUGAUACAGAGACAAAAAUUCGGAUCUGACCGGUCAGGCCAUUAAAUGGAAAGCGCCCCAAUAUGCCGAACAUAAAUAUUUUUAGAAUCUGCAGAACUCCAGCUUGAUAUGCUGAGAAUUUUUUCCAGCUCGGAACAUCGGACUGUAAUGUGACACAGUAGAAUCGUAUACGAUUGAUUUUACAAGAUUUUACACAAAAUCUCACAUACUAUAUGUAAUGCAUCUUGGUGAAAAUGCACCAUAUAAUAGCCAAGAUGUUGUGGUAUAGCAAUUGCCAAAAACAGAUUGCAAACAGUUAUAGAAAAAUGGCUUAUAGGUGUAUGCUACAUGCCCAAGGCUAGACCUGUUCCAAAAAAAACGGUUCAUUUCCAUGAAAACGGUAACGAGAAAUGUUAGGGGGGUAGUUCACAUAGGUCCAAAAAUCAGGUUUUGAGAAAUCGACAGUUAAAAUUUCAGUUUUAUGACCUAAGAGUAAUGUUCCCCAGGAGGUGAAGCUCCCCCGACCUGGUUCCACGACGGCGAAAUUCUUCGCAAGAAAUUGUUUCUGCGACAUAUGGAUGAUUCCACGUGGAUUAAUUUCUCGCCAAACCUAAUAUAUUUUUACUGCGUAUGCCAUAAUUCAUUUCGCGCAAAUUGUUUUCGAAUUUCGUGAGGAAAAAGCGCUCACGAAAUCAGGCGUUCAAUUCGCACCCUGAUCUCGCAUGCACACAUGAGGGAUUUAUGGGAACCAUUAAUAUUUCAUAAUCCAACAAGAAGAUCCAACCAUGCAACUCGAUAAUUUUUUUAAGCGACGGCAAUUAUUUUAAGACCUUAAAAGUUGGCCAGGCCGCAACCUAGCUCCGCUUCACAGGCUGAUGGUUAUUAACAUACGAUGCG